UCCUGUACAUUCUUUACUCUCUGCCUCAACCCAUCUUCCCUCUGUGCUGUUCCACCUGUCAUCACCAUUCCCCCGUCCCUUUAUCAAGUGUAAUCAUCAAAUGUGAGUGUCAGUCCCCUACAGUGUCUCCUAUGUCCGUGAACAGUGCAUCACGUAUGUAUCCUGCAACACUCCCACCCCCCACACACUCAGAAGAAGCGCGUGUCCCCCAAGGUGACAGCCUAAGGCCCCAAUGGUACCUCCUCCUGGAAGCCUCUUCUGACCUUCCCCAGAAACAGCCUCUCCUCCCUCUCGUCUCGGGCACGUCACUGGCAAUCCUUUUGUAGACCUUAACACUUUCGACCAUGCACUAGUCACUGACGCUUCCCUCACACCCAAGCCCAGAUUCACCCCUGCGCCCUCCUGCCACAAAUCUCAGUACGUGCUCGAUACACGUCUGGAAUGAGAAAACUGCGUUUGGGAUAGCCGAGCGUCACCCAAAACGUCUGUAUAUACCCAGAAGAAAGCGAACCGGUCUUCGUCUCCACGGUGAGCCUGUCGCAUCUGCAGUUCCCGGCAGGCGGCCUGGUCCUCUCACCCCCUCCUCUGUCCCUCACGCAGACCUCUCUAAACUAGGCCCUCAGCUUCCCCAGAAUUCCUCUACACAAACCGAACUGUUUCCGGUCAAAUUGUUCCCAAGUGUAUUGGACUUACCAUGGGCAGCUCUGCUCCCUUUUUUGAUCCCUUCAUCUAAGAGCCGGGUUGGCCUCAACUGGAUGACUGCCAUAGAAACCACUUUGAAAGAUUCGGUUCUUUCCCUUCCCUCGUUUUGGAGAGGGACUCGUCAGAGGGCUGGGAAAGGUGAAGGAUCCAAGCCCGAUCCAUUCCCUCGGGGGCUCACAGAGUCCCCCACAAACCUCUUUCUCAGUGCCGAGACCAGGAGCUUCGGGUGGCUGUGGACACGGGCACCCACCACAACCAGAUCUCCGCUGGGUGCCUCAGCCGCCUGGGGUUAGGGAAGAAGGUCCUCAAAGCCCCAGGUGGGGGCCUGGCACCUGGGCCCCCCACCCAGGUGGAGCAGCUGGAGCUGCAGCUGGGCCAGGAGACGGUGGCCUGCUCGGCCCAGGUGGUGGGUGAGUCCUCCCUUCGUUCCCAGCCCCCUUCUUCCUCUCCUGGCUGUGGCAAAGGCUGGCACCCUCCGAGGUGUCCCCAGUCUCGGGGCCCAGAUCCUCAGACCUGGGGGAGGGGGGUGGGCAGACAAGGAGCGAGUGUUGACAGGAGGGCACCGUG
rnacentral:lncRNA from 1 species